UCGAGGCCAAAGGGUACGAAUCUAAACCGGAAGUAUUCGACAGCGACAGAACGGAAGCUGCUCAUGAUUGCUUCCAGUGCCAUUACUCAUCAUGGCAGAACCCGUGUGAACAACAAACCUGCUCGAAAAUGGGCAAAUAAUUAGCACAAGAUUUUCUAGGCUGUUCUGUUGAAAGGCUACAGCAACUGGACUGAGGGGUAUGUGCACGACAUGGAAGGUGGAGCUGUCCGUCAAGUAACCAUUCAUUGGCAACACGUACUGCACCUACAAACCUGACCUGGGACAGCACACGAUAGGACUGCUCUACACACUUGCCCACUACGUAAAAACCGGGUAUACAUCUGUCCCCUGGCUGCAAGCAAAACAUCCCUGCCACAAGCUUGGCAUGUUCCAUUAAGAACAUUAGGUCUCAGUCUAAAAGCAGUUAGCACAGUGUCCAAAAUCAAGCCACCAGUGACUUAUGCACUGCCCCGGAAAAAAACAGCGCUUGACUCGGGGGAUAAUCUCUAAUUUGUAUUGUCCUGUGCUACUUCCAUUACCUGCUUGGAAUUUGCAGAGACACUGGAGAGACCUGGCUGCAAUCAGCAGUAAGAGCCAGAUGUUGAAAUUACUUGAAGCAAAUCAUAAACAGUCUACUGAUCUGGUCUCCACAGACCAUGGGGGCCUUCCACGGGAUUCUCUAUCAAGUUACCAAAUUCACAGUCCACUGUCCAUUUCCAGUGAAAAGCACCUUCAUCUUCCCCUACCACCAUAGCCAUGUUCCUAGAGCACUGUAGUAGAUGAUACUGAGACAUAUUACUACGAAGGCCUUUCAAGAGAAUCUGCUCCAGGGUGAGAGACUGAGAGUUUGGGGGUAAACAUGAAAGAGAAACUAUGCAAACAAACAAAAGCAGUGGAGGGAGGCCUAGUCAGUUGCUGCUGCUGAGCACAAGGACAUCACUAGAAAUGAAGUCUACACUGUGGAUAUUUUGAUUAACCCCAUGCCCCACACCUGGGUGCCUCACCCGACUGGAAAGUGCAUGACCUUAAUACAGCACUUACUGACGGACUUCUGGAAAUCAAGUGUCCAGACAAGGAUAGUUUCGAAGACCGUACAUACUUGUAUUGCAAGGCUGAUGGGACCACUCAUGAGUACUACUUCCAGAUGGUUAAUCUAAUGGGUAUCACUAGUAUCACAUGGUGUGAGUUCUUUGUCAGGUGCAAACAGGAUGAUCAUCUGGAGCAUGUCUACUUCAACCUUGAAGAAUGGACAAACAUGAAAUCCAAACUUGACAUUUUCUUCUUUACAUACUUCCUGCCUGCCUUGUACAACAAAGGUACAUGAAAAUAUCUGUGAAAUGAAACAAGGAGUCAACAUUUUAUGAAGCAGUGCUGUAUUUUCCACAGGCUUAAUUCAAUGAAACAUGGCUGUCUUAGAUGUAACUUCCACUGUGCAUAAAAAAUAAAAUAAAAAUCUUAAUUGUAAAACA